rnacentral:rRNA from 1 species
AUACGUAGGUGGCGAGCGUUGUCCGGAUUUACUGGGUGUAAAGGGCGUGUAGGCGGGAAUGUAAGUCAGAUGUGAAACUCCGGGGCUCAACCUCGGAACUGCAUCUGAAACUAUGUUUCUUGAGUGCUGGAGAGGAAAGCGGAAUUCCUAGUGUAGCGGUGAAAUGCGUAGAUAUUAGGAGGAACACCAGUGGCGAAGGCGGCUUUCUGGACAGUAACUGACGCUGAGGCGCGAAAGCGUGGGGAGCAAACAGGAUUAGAUACCCUGGUAGUCCACGCUGUAAACGAUGGAUACUAGGUGUAGGAGGUAUCGACCCCUUCUGUGCCGGAGUUAACACAAUAAGUAUCCCACCUGGGGAGUACGGCCGCAAGGUUGAA